rnacentral:misc_RNA from 1 species
UUGUGGAGGAGGACGCCGAAGGUGGGGCUAAUGACUGGGGUGAAGUCGUAACAAGGUAGCCGUACCGGAAGGUGCGGCUGGAUCACCUCCUAACAGGGAGACAACAAAAUGUUUAUUAUUAUUUUGUCACCUUAGGUCGAUCGGUAUCUCACGUUUUUAAUUUAUUAAGAAUUUCAUUUCCUAAGUUUUUCUAGGUCACACCCAUUUUUUUUCCUGGGCCAUUAGCUCAGGUGGUUAGAGCGCACCCCCGAUAAGGGUGAGGUCCCUGGUUCAAGUCCAGGAUGGCCCAUAUCUCUAUGUUGGGGGUAUAGCUCAGUUGGUAGAGCGCCUGCUUUGCAAGCAGGAUGUCAGCGGUUCGAGUCCGCUUACCUCCACUGAUUACCACCUCUUCCAUAAUCUGUAGAAAGGAAAAAAAUUUUGAGUUGUGAUCAUAAUUCUGAACGAAUCUAGCUUCCUAAUGAAACCAUUAAGAUGCUGGACUCAUUGAAUUAAUUUCAUUGUUUUCAGAGAACCUUGACAACUGCAUAGAUUAUUUUUAAAGACAAUAAGCAUCUUUAAUGAUGCAGAUUUAUUAUUUGUGCGAAUGCAUUAAUAACAAUUCUAUUAAGCUGAUGCUUCAAUUUUGAAGUUAUUGGUCAAGCUACAA